rnacentral:lncRNA from 1 species
UUUCAUCUAUCUGAAGUCAGACACUUGUUGAUCUGCUACUCUCAGGUUGUUUCAGCAUGGACGCUAAUUUCAGGGUUCUGUGGGAUAAAGAAAACAAAAUCAUUUUGCUUCCCUUUUUUCAGGGCUCUCGCCUAUUCUUCAGAAGCCGUUAAGGUGCCUUCCCUGUGAUUUAGAGAAUUGACCACAAGAGAAGACUCCCUUUCAAACUCUUCAUUCUCUGGUUCAGAGGUUUGAUGUAAUGGUUGUCUCAUCGUACAUGGUCAGCCACAGGAUAUACUUCAUCCAUUUCAGAGCUGUACUCCUGAGUUCCAUGCUAUAAUCAGAAAUAUGUGGCACAUUUUGAACAAAGGAAAUAUAUACCCAACAAAGUGUUAAAAUGGAGCUGCCAACCAGACAAACCCUAGAAAUAUGUAGCCACUUACAGGCAGAACACAACUACAUGUGUUCCCAAUGUGGAAGGCAUUCCGGAAGUGUAUGCAUCCACAUUUCUACAUGAGGCAUCGCCUAUGCAGGCAAUCAAAGGAUGUUGAUGGAUAAGUGUUUCAGGCAGAAUAAUGGCCCUCAAAGAUGUUGACACCAGAAUCUUCAGAACCUUUGCAUAUGUUACCUAACAUGACAAAAGGGACUUUGCUGAUGUGAUUAAGGUUAAGAACUUUGAGAAGGGAAGAUUAUCCUGGAUUAUACAGGUCGACGUUUAUUUCUUUCUGAACUUUCCUGGAGGAUCAUCGGCCAUACUCCAGCAGAAGGGUGGAUUUGAAAAAAUAACGAAGACGUUGGAGAAUUCACAUGCUAUUUUAGCUGGCUCUGUGAUUGCAAUCACACAAAUCAUUACAUUCCAGCGAGAUCCCAUCAACAGAAGGUUUUUCCAUUUCAGUCUGUCAAGGUAAAACAUUAUCUUUUCAUUUUCUGUAUACUCCAGGAUAUCAAGAAAUUAUGGAAUGUAAGCUAUACUUACAAUAGCAUUUUCUAAGUCUACCUUGAUGGUCAGAGGUAAGAAAAAGAGAGAGGAAGAGAGCUUUUUUGCUCUCAGUUACAUUAAAAUAUUCAUUCAGGUAAAAAAUAUAUAUAUUGGAUUGGCUUCCUUUUAUUCAAGUUUUAUAAUUUCCUGCAAUCUCACUUCAUGAGUUAAUGUUGCAGAGCAAGAUAAUGAUUGUCUUCUAGAAACCUAUGUAGUGCCAUAGAACCAGAAUGGGUGGGUGCAAAGAACAGAAAUGAAAUUAGAAGGUUAAUGGACUGCAGAUUUUUCAUGCAUUUUUCCAGAUGUUCAUUCUGGCCUUCUGUUCCUUUCUUCAGGACUUGUAUUUAUGCACAUGUAACACCAUGAGGAAUCAGAUAAUACAAACAGGGAAUAUCUCUUGGGCUAUUCAGUUUUGGCUUUAUAUUUCAACUAUGUUGAUGACUGCUGGUUACAUUUUUACUCAAUUUAGGUGGUCUGAUUUAAAUGUAGGAGAUCACAUAAGGGAUGGUGGGAAUGGGUACCUCAAGUGAAAGCUUUUACAUUCAGUAAUGCAGAUUUAAUUGCUCAGGAUGCUCUAGCCUGGGAAACUCAGCUUAUCCAGAUUUCCUGAGAACUGAUCAUUGCUAAGAAUUUUCUGAGGUCUGGUAUGUGUGGCCUCCAUUCAUACUGAGGGAAGACUGUCUCUUAGGAGCAGAGGAUUGCUUAGCAAUUGAAAACAGAAUUUUGUCUUUUUAGAAAUUAAUAAUGUAAGAUAUAAGCCCUUUGGCUAUUAAAAAUAUUUCUCCAUACAGGCCAGCCCCUUCAGCCCCAGGCUGCAGGUCCACCAAAGGUUUCAGACCAGCCCAGAUUCAGGUUGUCCCACAUAACUCCACACUUUGAACUUUCCCUAGUACCAGGUAAACACCCCUGGCCUUGGGCAUGAGGCCAGAACCUAUAGACAUAAGCUCCAGGCCUGCCCAAUAUCAGGCUAGUCCCUAGCCCCUGCAGCCUUAUACUCCAGCAGACUCAGGUUCCAGGCCCAUCACAGUAGAUGUCAGUGCCAGACUCACCCCCAAAGACUGAGGCACCAGGUCAACUCCUCAGGCUGCUAGACUGUACCAGUGGACCCAGAUCAGGUACCAAGCCCACCCACCUGCUGACCCAGGCACUGGGCCAGCCUGCUUAAGGACUUUAGUAGCAAGCUCACCCACAGACCAUGCCAGGCAUCCUGCAGAGGAUAUCUGGACGAGCUGACUGGUGAAGUGCAUUCUCAGACAUAGCCAGUCUGAAAAGACUGCAAAAAGUGCCUUCUUCUUCAAAUGCACAGACAACAGCACAAAGCAAUAAGAAACACGAAGAAAACAAGGAUAUAACACCACCAAAGAAACACAAUAACCUCAAAAUGAAAAUAUUAAAACUGCCUGACAAAUAAUUCAAAAUAAUUGUUUCAAGAAAGCUCAGG